AAUAUUGGCAAACAAUAAGAUGAAAACAUGAAAAUGAAAGAGAUAAGUGACAGGAAAUAUAUUGUCUUUCUCUUUCUUGUACUUUCAUUACCUUCUUUCUUUUAUUUUCAUAUCUUUAUUCUUGGUUUUUGGCUUUCUUUUUACUUGUAUCUCAACUUCAAAAACCAAGAUGAAGGUAAUGUGAAAGAAAGAGAA
rnacentral:ribozyme from 1 species